AAAAUUAACAGACUGACUGCACCAUGGUUGCACAGAACUUUGGCAAUGCAGGAAUAUGACUGCAGAUGGGCUUCACUACUACAUUAUCCGAAAGACCAUGCAGCAAUACUGCGUAGCAGCUCAGGUCGGGAAGUGUGGGAUACUUUACUCAGCUGAAAACGUAGAUUCCAAAAUUAGAGCAAGUCACAUUUCCUCAUGGAACUUCUGCUGCAAGGAGGCAUUGAGCUUUUGCAGCCCUAGUCUGAAGGUGCCUGCUCCAGUGGAUGACCUGCUCUGUCAUGCACAGCUAUCCCAAAACAAUUGGACAAUGGCAAACUUUAAAAAUUAAUGCAUGUCCUGAUUACUGUCCCAUCCCCCUCAGCUUGUGCUUUCUGACUCUUGCUUCAUGUUGCUGAGUCCUAUUUGUUGAAGGUGCUACUUAAUCCAUGACUUGCCUGCUGCAUUCUCGUUUGACCUGUUAACUGUUAAAGCAAAAAAAGUUAUUUUAAGAUUGGACUUGUCAAAGAGGUCUUAUCUCCUCCCUUCAAAGUCCUCUGAUGAUUAAUAUUUGAUUAAAAUGUGGUUGCAGCAUUAAA